rnacentral:rRNA from 1 species
AUUGAACGCUGGCGGCAGGCCUAACACAUGCAAGUCGAACGAGUGGCGGACGGGUGAGUAAUGUCUGGGAAACUGCCUGAUGGAGGGGGAUAACUACUGGAAACGGUAGCUAAUACCGCAUACCAUCAGAUGUGCCCAGAUGGGAUUGGCUUGUUGGUGGGGUAAAGGCUCACCAUGGCGACGAUCCCUAGCUGGUCUGAGAGGAUGACCAGCCACACUGGAACUGAGACACGGUCCAGAAUCCGACGGGAGGCAGCAGUGGGGAAUAUUGCACAAUGGGCGCAAGGCUGAUGUAGCCAUGCCGCGUGUAUGAAGAAGGCCUGCGGGUUGUAAAGUACUUUAAGCGGGGAGGCGGUACCCGCAGAAGAAGCACCGGCUAACUCCGUGCCAGCAGCCGCGGUAAUUC